rnacentral:lncRNA from 1 species
CCUCUUGCUCACCCUUGACUUGGAAAAACCAGUUUCUCUUUUAUUGUCUGUUACUAAUCUCUAUUCUAAAAAUUCAGCUCAAUUCUCAACCAUACUCCAAACUCUCUCUUUUCCAGCUACCUUUACUCCCUCUCCUUCAAUUCCACUUUCCUCUGCUUACUUUUUUUUUUUUUUCUGACAGGGUCUCACUUUGUCGCCCAGGCAGGAGUGCAGUGGCUCAAUCUUGGGCUCACUGCAGCCUCAACCUCCCAGAGGCGGGGUUUCACCAUGUUGCCCAGACUGGUCUUGAACUCCUGAGCUUAAGCAAUCCACCUGCCUCGGCCUCCCAAAGUGUUGGGAUCACAGGCGUGAGCCACCGCAUCCGGCCUCAUGUUCUUUUUCAUUAAAGAGAGAAAUCAACUAUUCAGGACCGGCCCCCACCUUUCCUCAGGAGUCAUUUCUGUUCUGCACAGGCCUGCUGAACUGGGUGCUUUAUAUAGGAAAGGACCAACCACACCGAGCUCAGUUAUGGCACACACAGUGGGACCUAGACAAAGGGAGAGGGUGACCGGCAUCCCAACUAGAUUUCAGUGGAGUGAAGUUCAGGAGGCAUGGAGCUGACAACCAUGAGGCCUCGGCAGCCACCGCCACCACCGCCGCCGCCACCACCGUAGCAGCAGCAGCAGCAGCAGCAAGAGUAACUCUGACUUAGGAAUAGAGACAGCCAGAGAGAAAUGUGAUCAAUGAAGGAGACAUCUGGAGUGUGCGUGCUUCUUCAGAGGGACGGGUGAUGGGCAGAUUGGAAAAAGCACCGCAGAUGGGAACCUUAAUCUUUCUUUUCUAAAAUUGAUGCUAUGAAAAUUUGCGUUUUCUGUAACUUGUAAAAACUAAAGUUGCUUGUCUACUGAAAA